UUGAAACAGGCGUUUAUCCACCUCUGCUGGUUUAAAGCCUGAAAAAUGUGUGUGAAUAUUUACAGUCUUAUCCCUGGCUCCAUCGAGAACAUUUAGCCUGCACAAACUUGCACGGAAAACAAUAAUGGAAGCAUGUGGAAGUUUAUCACAUCUGGUAGAAACAUCACCUUGUUGUCUGCUUAGUGUAAGAGUGAUCAGAGCAAAGAAUCUCCGGCGAACAGAUACCCUAAGCCAUACUGAUUGCUAUUUGACCCUAUGGCUGCCAACGGCUUCUUCUGAAAGGUUCCAGACAAAGACUGUUCAAAAUUCUAAAGACCCAGUCUGGAACGAAACUUUCCAUUUCAUGGUCCAGAGCAAAGUGAAGGUCAGAAACUGAUGAUCACUCCUUGUUGGUAUAUCAUAAUCUCACUGAAAGUGAUUUCUUGUGAAUUUGAAACGUGCCUUGAUUUGUAGAAGACCAGCUCACAGAACUGAGCAGUAGAGUUCCGAUGUUAGUGUCAUGACACAACUUGCACAAUAGGGGAGUUGGUGUUGCUAUGCCUGUUGUGGCCUUGCGCCGAUUCUAAUAUAUGCAUACAGUCCUUUACAAAUCCUAUUGUAUGUGAAUGAUUGCUUCUUUGAAAGAAUCAUCAGUCUUCUCCCUAAUGUGUGAGUUUUCCUUGUGCAGGGAAAUUUGGAUGCAUGGAUGAUUUCAGAUGAGCAGUCGCUGAUGCACAUAGGCUCACAUAAAUAUUUGAAUUUGCUUCCAGGACUGAUUUAAAUUUGACAGUAGCCCUAAACAGUGGCGGAGCUUCAUGCAGGCUGGGGCGGGGCUGGCUUGGGUCCCAGGGGCAUGGCACGCCGCUACAGGGGCGUGGCGCCCAGCGCAGGUGGGGUGGCAGCCGCGAUGGCACCCCACCGGGAUCAUGCUGCGGGGGCAGUGCACUCCCCCACACUCCUCUUCCUCUGCCAGUGGCCCUAAAGAAGAUCCCAAAAGUACUUAUUCAGGUUAUGCACACAGUUGGUUUAACAUUUAAAAUGCUUCACCCCACGCACUGGCUACAUGCAUGAAAUGUCUACACAACUUCAUCAUACAUCAUUAGUGCAAGACUGUUGCAUAUGAAUGGGAUGAGUCAGUACAUAGGGAGAUUCCACCUUACAUGAUUGCCACCUCAUUUAGAACAGUACUUAGAUAUGCCAUAGGUCAAGUGGGGAAGGUGUGGGUCAGCAGUUUCCCAAGGUCCAAAGACCACAGAAGCAAUGAUGCUGUUGAUGGAAUACAUGCCUAUUUUUGAAAGGGCAGGGAAUUGAAGGUAAAUGUACCCCAUGCCUAAUUUAUAUUCCCAAUUAUCCAACUCUUUUCUAAAUUGAACAUGUUUGGUCUCUUCUUGCAUGGAAUUCCAUGCCAUUGUAAAACGUUUUCCUUUUCGUGUUUUUUUUAAAAAAAUAUUUAUUCAAGAUUUUUUACAUUUAUCACCCAACAUAUAUAAUCCCAUAGCCAACAGUACAGUAUACAAACACAAAAGAGAUAACAAUAACAAUACACACAUAAAAGAAAAAGAAAGAAAAAGAAAACAAACAAAAUUAUAACAUCAUAUCAAGGUUCUUGGUAUUCAUGCUUCCCUUACUUUGGACUUCCUCACAUCUUCCAUUCCUGCUUUCCAAGUUUGUAAAAUACUUUACAGCAAAUUAUCACCUUAUUUUAAUUUCUUAUUUGUAUUUUUCCCCAUAUUAUACCUCUAAUUUUAAAUUUAUUUUCCAAACACUUAAGUACUUAAUUAGGCAUAAUUUCAACCAAUAUAAAAUUAACUUUUUUCUCCAAUUUCACCUAUUCUCAGGUUCUUAUCGGCUAACUUACUGAUGCCACAUUUGCUUUCACUCUUGCAUCAACUUAACACUCAUACAAU